AAGCCCCGCAAGGGGCAAGUAGAGUGGCAAACGGGUGAGUAACACGUGGGUGACCUGCCUUCGAGCGGGGGAUAACGUCCCGAAAGGGACGCUAAUACCGCAUAACAUCCUGCCUUUGAAGAGGUGGAGAUCAAAGCCGGGGAUCGCAAGACCCGGCACUUGAAGAGGGGCCCGCGCCUGAUUAGCUAGUUGGUGAGGUAACGGCUCACCAAGGCAACGAUCAGUAUCCGGCCUGAGAGGGCGGACGGACACACUGGGACUGAGACACGGCCCAGACUCCUACGGGAGGCAGCAGUGGGGAAUUGUUCGCAAUGGGCGCAAGCCUGACGACGCAACGCCGCGUGGAGGAUGAAGAUCUUCGGG
rnacentral:rRNA from 1 species